rnacentral:rRNA from 1 species
GACGUAGGGCGCGAGCGUUGUCCGGAUUUAUUGGGCGUAAAGAGCUCGUAGGCGGCUCGGUAAGUCAGGUGUGAAAACUCUAGGCUCAACCUAGAGACGCCACCUGAUACUGCCGUGGCUAGAGUCCGGUAGGGGAGCAUGGAAUUCCUGGUGUAGCGGUGAAAUGCGCAGAUAUCAGGAGGAACACCAGUGGCGAAGGCGGUGCUCUGGGCCGGAACUGACGCUGAGGAGCGAAAGCGUGGGGAGCAAACAGG